rnacentral:rRNA from 1 species
GACGGGGCCCGCACAAGCGGUGGAGCAUGUGGUUUAAUUCGACGCAACGCGAAGAACCUUACCAGGGCUUGACAUCCCCUGACCGCGUAUGAAGACGUUUUCACCCUCGGGUGACAGGGAGACAGGUGGUGCAUGGUUGUCGUCAGCUCGUGUCGUGAGAUGUUGGGUUAAGUCCCGCAACGAGCGCAACCCCUACGUUUAGUUGCUAACGCGUGAAGGCGAGCACUCUAGACGAACUGCCGUUGACAAAACGGAGGAAGGCGGGGAUGACGUCAAGUCCUCAUGGCCCUUACAUCCCGGGCUACACACGUGCUACAAUGGCAGGUACAGAGGGCUGCGAAGCCGCGAGGUGGAGCGAAUCCCAGAAAACCUGUCUCAGUCCGGAUUGAAGUCUGCAACUCGACUUCAUGAAGGCGGAAUCGCUAGUAACCGCGAAUCAGCAGGUCGCGGUGAAUACGUUCCCGGGCCUU